rnacentral:rRNA from 1 species
AUUGAACGCUGGCGGCAGGCCUAACACAUGCAAGUCGAACGAGUGGCGGACGGGUGAGUAAUGACUGGGAAACUGCCCGAGGGAGGGGGAUAACUACUGGAAACGGUAGCUAAUACAGCAUACCAUCGGAUGUGCCCAGAUGGGAUUAGCUAGUAGGUGGGGUAAUGGCUCACCUAGGCGACGAUCCCUAGCUGGUCUGUGAGGAUGACCAGCCACACUGGAACUGAGACACUGGCCAGACUCCUACGGACGGCGGCAGGGGGGAAUAUUGCACAAUGGGCGCAAGCCUGAUGCAGCCAUGCCGCGUGUAUGGAGAAGGCCUUCGGGUUGUAAAGUACUUUCAGCGAGGAGGCUUUGCUCGCAGAAGAAGCACCGGCUAACUCCGUGCCAGCAGCCGCGGUAAUUC